CGGGACUACGGUGCCCACAUGGCCUUGCGCCCCGGCGCAUGAGCGCUCGGGCGCUGUAGCGCAUCUAUUAUACUGCCUUGCCGAGGAUAAAAAGAAGAGCAACUGGAGGGACUGUAAGGCAAACGUUGCUGGAGCUGCCGGGGCAAAUUUGCUCUAGGUUGUAUGGUUGCACCCUGGAAAUGGGAUGUCAGUCCCAUUCAGGGAGCAUAAAGGAAGAGAGAAAAUCUCCCCGUUGCUGCCGCAGUGACAGCGAGUGAGAGCCCGAGCAGGAAGAUGUCGGCGGUCGCCUCAGCGAUCCAGGCUCCUCAGGGCCCCGUGAAUCCGCCGCCUCCAGAGGUGACAAAUCCCAACAAACCUGGCCGAAAGACCAACCAGCUGCAGUAUAUGCAAAAUGUUGUGGUGAAGACCUUGUGGAAGCAUCAGUUUGCUUGGCCUUUCUACCAGCCUGUUGAUGCAAUUAAGCUGAAUUUGCCGGAUUAUCACAAAAUAAUAAAAAACCCCAUGGACAUGGGGACGAUCAAGAAGCGCCUGGAACACAACUAUUACUGGAGUGCCAGUGAAUGUAUGCAGGAUUUCAACACCAUGUUUACAAACUGUUACAUUUAUAACAAGCCCACAGAUGACAUUGUCCUCAUGGCCCAAGCCCUGGAGAAGAUAUUUCUGCAGAAGGUUGCCCAGAUGCCUCAGGAGGAGGUGGAAUUGCUACCCCCAGUUCCUAAAGGCAAAGGUCGCAAGCCCUCAGCGGGCACACAGAGCACAGGAGCGCAGCAAGCCGUGGCCGUGUCUUCCGUGUCCCCGCCGGCCCCGUUCCAGAACGUCCCUCCAGCCGUGUCUCAGACGCCCGUCAUCGCUGCCACCCCCGUGCCAACCAUCACCGCCAAUGUCCCGCCUGUCGCCGCCCCUGCCGCCGCCGUCCCGCCCCCGCCCGCCGCUCCGAUCAUGCCCGUGGUGCCUCCCACGCCCCCGGUCGUCAAGAAAAAGGGAGUGAAGCGGAAAGCAGACACCACCACGCCCACCACGUCUGCCAUCACUGCCAGCAGGAGCGAGUCCCCCACGCCGCUGUCGGACCCCAAACAGGCCAAAAUCAUCGCGCGCAGGGAGAGCGGCGGCCGCCCCAUCAAACCACCAAAGAAGGACCUGGAGGAUGGAGAGGUCCCUCAGCACGCAGGGAAGAAGGGCAAACUCUCUGAGCACCUCAAGUACUGUGACAGCAUCCUCAAGGAGAUGCUCUCCAAGAAGCACGCAGCCUAUGCAUGGCCCUUUUACAAGCCCGUGGAUGCAGAGGCCUUGGAAUUACAUGACUAUCACGAUAUUAUCAAACACCCCAUGGAUCUCAGUACUGUGAAAAAAAAAAUGGACAGUCGGGAAUACCAGGAUGCACAAGGUUUUGCAGCAGAUAUUCGGUUAAUGUUCUCUAAUUGUUACAAGUACAAUCCUCCAGACCACGAGGUGGUGGCCAUGGCCAGGAAGCUCCAGGAUGUCUUUGAGAUGAGGUUUGCAAAAAUGCCAGAUGAGCCUGCAGAGGCCCCCCCUCCACCUCCCCCAACAGCCCCAGUGGUGAGCAAAAGCACAGAGAGCAGCCACAGCAGCGAGGAGAGCUCCUCAGACUCCGACAGCUCCGACUCCGAGGAGGAGCGGGCGACUCGGCUGGCCGAGCUCCAGGAGCAGCUGAAAGCCGUCCAUGAGCAGCUGGCUGCACUGUCCCAAGCGCCAGUGAACAAACCAAAGAAAAAAAAAGAGAAGAAGGAGAAAGAGAAGAAAAAGAAAGAUAAAGAGAAGGAAAAAGAAAAGCACAAAGUCAAAGCUGAGGAGGAGAAGAAACCCAAGGUGGCUCAACCACCAAAACAAGCCCAACAGAAGAAAGCCCCAGCUAAGAAAGCGAACAGCACAACCACAGCUAACAGGCAGCCCAAGAAAGGAGGCAAACAGGCAUCUGCAACCUACGACUCGGAUGAGGAGGAGGAAGGGCUGCCCAUGACCUAUGACGAGAAGCGACAGCUCAGCCUGGACAUCAACCGCCUGCCCGGGGAGAAGCUGGGCAGGGUGGUUCACAUCAUCCAGUCCAGGGAACCUUCCCUCAGAGACUCCAAUCCCGACGAGAUUGAAAUAGAUUUUGAAACUUUGAAGCCCACAACGUUACGAGAACUGGAGAGAUACGUGAAAUCUUGUUUACAGAAAAAACAAAGGAAACCAUUUUCUGCCAGUGGCAAAAAGCAAGCAGCAAAGUCAAAAGAAGAGUUAGCUCAGGAAAAGAAGAAAGAACUAGAAAAACGGUUACAGGACGUCAGUGGGCAGCUAAACAACAACAAGAAGCCUGCAAAGAAAGAGAAAUCCGGCUCCACUCCCUCCGGAGGCCCCUCCCGGCUCAGCAGCAGCUCCUCCUCCGAGUCGGGGAGCAGCAGCUCCAGCGGCUCCAGCUCGGACAGCAGCGACUCGGAAUGAGCGCGGACACACGGACACAACCCCCAAACGGACACCCCCUCCCGCCCCUGCUCUGCAGAGCCCCCUCCCCUCCUCACCCCCUGCUCACGGUGGUCAGGUGUGGCACUCAAACGUGGACUGGGCAGUGCCAGGAGCCAAACAUCAGGGGUUUGAAUCCUGGUGCCACGAGUCCUGGAAUAAUCUGGAAGUUAUUUUAGGGAAUGUCACACUCAAAGGGCUGAUGCGCUCAGAGUGGGGCAGCUCUGGGGUGUCUGAAUCACAGCUGAGUACCUGAAAUAAAACUGCUUUAAAUCCCUUUUUUUUGGUGAGGGAAACAGCUGUUUCCAUGUCCCAGUGCAGGCAAGGAAGGGCUUGAACUCUUCCCAGCAUCCUGUAGUCUGCAGGGUCUUAAAUUCUGUGGGAAUUGCUCCCGAUUGAGGUAAGUUGGGCUGAAAAGAGAUGAGCCUUCACCCAGGUUUGCUGCUGGCUUCUUGGAAGGCACCAGGAGCUGCAGGAAGCAGAGGGACUUUGUCACCUGCUGUGGGCUCAGGGUGACCUGGAGGGCACAGCUUGGAAAGGGGGGCCUGGAGCAGCUGGUGCCAGUGCCAGCAGAGUCCUGGCAUUGCUGUGUGGGUGCCAGGAUCUAUUUUGGUCAUCAGAGAGGACUGGGGUUGGUUUUGCUGUUUGCUCUUUGUGUGAGGUGGGGUUAGCACAGCCAGGCUGCCCCAGGGUUAAUCUUUCUCUAACCCUGUUCCUGCUCACUGCCCCUCCAAGGCUCCAGCAAAGCUGUUCCACUCUGCUCUGGUGCCAGUGCCACUCCCGUGGGCUCUUUGUCCAAGCUGUCCCCUAAAGAGUCUCCUGUGAGGGAGGUGAGGAUGUUUCUGUGGCAUUUGCAGGUGAGUUACUUCUGGGGGCAGAGAGCAGAGCUGGUUCUUCAGGCUGGGAGGAGGUUGAGGACACGCAGGACACGAUUGAAGUUCAACUCUCACUGCUCAUGCCUUGAAUGCUGGGGCUGCCAGAGGGACAUUGAGGGGCUGGAAUGAGUCCAGAGAAGGGAACAGAGCUGGGGAAGGCUCUGGAAAGUCUGUCCUGUGAGGAGCAGCUGAGAGGGCUCAGCCUGGAGGAAAAGGAGGCUCAGGGAAGAUCUCCUUGCUCUCUCCAGCUGCCCAAACCAGGGUUGUGAGGUGGGCUUUGGUCACUGCCAGGUAACUCCUAUCAGGACAAGAGGGAACAGCCUCAAGCUGCAUCAGGGGAGGCUCAGGUUGGAGAGCAGGAGCAAUUCCUUCGAGGAAAGGGUGCUCAGGCUUGGCAGGGGCUGCCCAGGGAGGUUUGGAGUCCCCAUCCCUGGAGGUGCCCAGGGAAGGCCCAGAUGUGGCACUCCGGGCUGGUGACAAAGUGGGGAUCAGGCACAGGCUGGAUGUGACAAUCUCUGAGGUCUUUUCCAUAAUAAUUCCCUCAUUCAGUGUGACAGCCAGAGCUUUCCUUAUCCUGAAAGUGCUGCUGGCCUUGGGGAGCUGGAGGAGCCUCCCCUGCAGCUCCCAGUGCAGUGGUGUGGGUUUGGAGCCCCACCAGGAACUGAGGGGAUUCCUCCCUCCCAAAAGGGGAGUGCCAAAAGCUGUCACCUGUGCCAGAGCCGUGGCCAUGCAGGGGAAAAACAGCCACUCACCGAGCUGCAUUCAAAUCAUUUUAAUGCACUUCAUCAAAGAGGCUACAACAGUGUUUGAAACAAGAGCAUCACCACCACACAACUGGCUCACAGAAGAGCCACAGCAACCCUGCUGUGACCAGUGACACACAGAAAUGGAAAACUACAGUCACAUUCACAGAGAUGGAAGGACAACUCAUCCUCUUCUUCCUGCACUGUCACAUCCAGCAUCCAUCCUGGAAGAAUUUAUGCACAUUCUUACGGGUUUAGUCUUGUAUAGUCCAAUUAAGACUCUGCAAAAUAACUGAAUUUUGGUUUACCAGCCACGUUAACAAAAAGAGACUGAUUAUACCCAAAAUAAGCAUCUUCCUUACUGAAAUUAAAAAGAAAAUAAGUGUUGGAUUUCUUUUUCUAUAAGAAAAGAAAACGAACAGCUGCUUUGGGGGAUGUGCUGUUCCUUAAACUCCCAGAGUUCACGUGCUCCCCAGGGCUGGCCUGGAACCCACCUCUCCUGCUUCUCCAGGUGAAUCCACCUGCAGAUCCCAGGGGAGCUCUGGGCCCAGCCCCCUGCCUGUUUGAGUAAAUAAUCUCCUGUUCACUCAGCCAAGAGCUGGAGGCCCAGGUGGGUCACACAUCCCUGGCACUGCUCCCCCGGCACCUUGCCGAGCCUCGCUGGCUUUGUGAAUCUCAUUGAACGCUUGCACUCGCUUCAAAAACAUUUAUUCACUGAAUAGUUUCUCCUCCAGAGCUAGUCCUGACAAAAGCAAGAGGGUUAUUUGUGUGCAGAGCAAUGCACAGGUCUGCAAAGCAGCGAGGUGCAAAUCUACGAGCGCGCACACACACACAAGGUAUCAAACACCAACACAUGCAGAAAUAGUGCUUUUAAAAAAAACAACGAGCUGCCUGUUGUUUGCAGUGCUAUGGAGCAGGGCUGAGUACACCAAACCUCUAUGAUUUCACUCUAGAACAGGUGUGUUCUGCUCAGUACAUCGAGUUCAGCAAGGUCGAGUGUCGGUGUGUUUGUUGUAGCAUUUCACCCACACGGGAGAGGUGGAAGAGAUUCUUCAUUGUAUUAAAAAAAAAUAAAUAAAAUAAAGUGCUUGAAAAAAAUGCAAAGGAGGUUUUAGAUAAAUAGAACAGAAGUAAUGACUGUGCCUAAUAAUAGGCAGGUAAAUAAUCCAUCCUGAAGCUGACAUCAAAUGCUGAUUUGCCUGGAGCUAAGCCUGUGCCCAGGCACUGCUGGGUUGCCCACAUGGCCUAGGCAGGACAGAAAGGGAAAAACCCUGAAGAAUUUUCAUGCUGAACCCUGGGUACGUAAUUCACAGCCCUGGAAGUGGGAGUUCUGUUUUUAACAAAGAUUCAGGUGCUUGCUGGGCUGAGUUUCUCAGGGUGAUCUUGCCUUGAACAAGUCAGGAUUCAGCAGAAACUUAAACCUGAAAGCAGCAGCCUCUGUGCCCAAGCAGGGCAGUGCUUCUCCCUCCUAAAAUCCUCCAGUUAAUCAUAACAAUCCUAGACACAACUUCUAAAAUACAUGCACCAAACCUACAAUCCAACCUGAACUAGAAGUUAAACCCUUCCAAGCUACUGCAUGCAUUAAAACUUGAAUGCAAAGCAAACUCCAGUGGCCUCUUUCCUUCUGUAGCCCAUCUCAGGAGUGGCUCUGUGCUCUGCAGGAGUUUCCUCGUGUCCCUUAGGACAUGUGUGCAUUUACAGGGUUUUUUUUUACUGUUGCUUUCCUGGGCCUGUCCCUCCCUUUCAGGUGGUUCACUGGGGGAUCUGCCCGAAAGGAGUCAGCUCCCCUGACUCCAGAGCUCCUGUUGUUUCCAUGAUCCCACCCUGUGGGAUCAGAGAGGGCCCUUGGCUUUGCAUGGAACUCCAGCACACCUUUCCUACCAGGUGUUUUGAAGGCUUGGAUUAAAUUCUCAACACAUUCUCCCCCUGUUCCCACAGUAAAUCACUCCAUUCUCUGGCUGGAAGAGACCACUUCAGGAUAGGAAUUAAAUACAGACAGGGCAAACUGAACAAGUAAUGGCCAGAUGGUUUUGGAGAUCAACUUCUUAAAACCACAGCCCUGAUGGGAACAGAUCUGUGCUCGCCUCUGUCCCACCAGCAUUCCCAGAGCUCUGGAAAUGCACCAGGACUGGCCAGUAAGGGUGGCUGGGGACGGUGCCCAAGUGCCAGCGGGUGUUUCUCAGGGCACACGAGCCACUUAGAAGCAACACAUGGUCCAGCACGGCCCCUGCCAAGAUGCUGGGCAGCAACAGGCUUGAGAUCUCCCCAGCCAGGCUGGGUUUGCUGCACACACUCAGUGACAUGCAGAAUGGGA